GACGAACGCUGGCGGCGUGCCUAAUACAUGCAAGUAGAACGCUGAAGGAGGAGCUUGCUUCUCUGGAUGAGUUGCGAACGGGUGAGUAACGCGUAGGUAACCUGCCUGGUAGCGGGGGAUAACUAUUGGAAACGAUAGCUAAUACCGCAUAAUAGUAGAUGUCGCAUGACAUUUGCUUAAAAGGUGCAAUUGCAUCACUACCAGAUGGACCUGCGUUGUAUUAGCUAGUUGGUGAGGUAACGGCUCACCAAGGCAACGAUACAUACCCGACCUGAGAGGGUGAUCGGCCACACUGGGACUGAGACACGGCCCAGACGCCUACGGGAGGCAGCAGUAGGGAAUCGGCGGCAAUGGACGGAAGUCUGACCGAGCAACGCCGCGGGAGUGAAGAAGGUUGUCGGAUCGUAAAGCUCGGUUGUAAGAGAAGAACGAGUGUGAGAGUGGAAAGUUCACACUGUGACGGUAGCUGACCAGAAAGGGACGGCUAACUACGUG
rnacentral:rRNA from 1 species